rnacentral:rRNA from 1 species
UACGAAGGGGGCUAGCGUUGUUCGGAUUUACUGGGCGUAAAGCGCACGUAGGCGGAUUGUUAAGUCAGGGGUGAAAUCCCGGAGCUCAACUCCGGAACUGCCUUUGAUACUGGCAAUCUUGAGGCUGGAAGAGGUUAGUGGAAUUCCCAGUGUAGAGGUGAAAUUCGUAGAUAUUGGGAAGAACACCAGUGGCGAAGGCGGCUAACUGGUCCAGAUCUGACGCUGAGGUGCGAAAGCGUGGGGAGCAAACACG